AACAAAUUUCUAUACCAAUUGAAGUGACCAUCUAACAAUGGUACCCGACGAUCGGAUAGAUCGAAUGUGUAGAACAACAUCCUUAGAAUCCAUGCAGAUAUAGUUUUCAUAUAAUUCAUCCCCUUGACCAAAAUGAUCAUAGGACACCCCAAAGUUCAACUGUCAAUUCUGAUCAGGUUGUCCCCAUUGUAUUUCAAAAUAUCAAAUCCAUCUGAUGGAUUAUCCUGACCAAGAUUUUGCUAAAUUGAAAUACAGUGACUCAUUCUUCUCCAACUCUUGGAGUGGUCAAUCCCAUCUCGAUCACACUCUGACUUUGCAAGUACUUAACUGUGCCUAGAAGCCUUCCAUCCCUGAAUUAGAAAUUCAGUUAGUCCAGUACCAAAGCACAGUGAGUUGCUUGCAAGUCACUGAGACGAUCUCAGGUCUAAGGGACACUUAUACCUAUAUCCCAUC
rnacentral:lncRNA from 1 species